UCAACCAGUUCGAUCCUGUGUUUGCGGUAAAUAACUAUUCGUUGACUCGCUUAGGAUGUAUUUUUUGAAUGUGAUCCGUUGGACGUGCAUUUAAGUCUAUAAUUGGUAUUCUGAUGCGGUGUGUAUAGUCGUCACCAAACAUUUAUCCUUGAAUUUUGUAAAAUCGAGUCGAGCGAAUCGAAAUAAUGGUUAUUAACGAAGAAAUCUAAUUCUAAAUUGUGCGAUACGGGUAACUUCAGUAUUUCGACAUUUUACAAUUUUUAUUUUAUUAAUUUAUGGCUUUAUGACGAAAGAUAAAUUAAGGUUGAGUCUAGUUUACAAAUGUAUAAAGUUUAUGUAAAUUUAAUUCGUAACGUUUCUUGUAAAAUAAGUUUCAAACGAUAUGGUCUAAUUUUAAGGUUAGUUUAUUAUUAGGAUCAGCAAUUUUCAGUUUGUCGCUCAGUUACUUUGCCUGUAAUGAAGGAUAAAAUAAUUUGGGAUACCCCUUCUUUUUCUCCUUCACAUCCUAUUCUAGUAUACUAUAAUAAAGACACUAAAUAAAAAUAAAUAAAAUUCACAUUUUGAAGCAACCGAGUAUCAAAUAUGACCCAUGACAAACAUUUAAGAACAAUCUUUGAAACAUUGGUAAACCAAAACAUUUAUGCGAGUGUGAAAGUAUAAAAUCAGUAGUUUUUUUCUUUUUGUAAUCUCAUAUGUUUACAUGUAACUCUUAAGUAUAACUUGUAAUAAUAAUUGAUAAGCUAAAAAGUAUAUGUGUGUACGUAGAAACAAGUAAGAUGAUAAAAUGUCCGUUCUUUGCUGUA